rnacentral:rRNA from 1 species
UUCCAGACUCCUACGGGAGGCAGCAGUGAGGAAUAUUGGUCAAUGGGCGCGAGCCUGAACCAGCCAAGUCGCGUGAGGGAUGACGGCCCUACGGGUUGUAAACCUCUUUUGCCGGGGAGCAACGGGCGCCACGUGUGGCGCCACUGAGAGUACCCGGAGAAAAAGCAUCGGCUAACUCCGUGCCAGCAGCCGCGGUAAUACGGAGGAUGCGAGCGUUAUCCGGAUUUAUUGGGUUUAAAGGGUGCGUAGGCGGCAUUAUAAGUUAGUGGUAAAAUAUUGGGGCUUCACCUCACUACGCCAUUAAUACUGUAGAGCUAGAGAACAGACGAGGUAGGCGGAAUAAGUUAAGUAGCGGUGAAAUGCAUAGAUAUAACUUAGAACACCGAUAGCGAAGGCAGCUUACCAGACUGAGUCUGACGCUGAGGCACGAGAGCAUGGGUAGCGAACAGGAUUAGAUACCCCCGUACG